GGCAUCUUCAUAUCUGAGGAGAAAUAGGGAGCCUCAGCUGGCUUCAGAUCCAGGUGUGCUCUCCACCCCGGCUCUCUUUCUUCUUCUUCUUCUUCUUUUUUUUUUUUUAAGAUUGAUUGAUUGAUUGAUUUAUAUUCAUGAGAGACACACAGAGAAAGGCAGAGACACAGGCAGAGAGAGAGGCAGGCUCCCUGCAGGAAGCCUGAUGCAGCACUGGAUCCUCAGACCCCAGGAUCAUGCCCUGAGCUGAAGGCAGACGCUCAACCACUGAGCCACCCAGGUGCCCGCCGGGUUCUCCUUCUUUAUUCUAGCUUCUUCUGUGAUUCCAUUCCCAGGAUCUACUUACCCAUAGGACUGUUGGUUCACCAUGUUGAUCCAUAUUUUGAUUGUGGAAUGGAGGGAGCAGUGAUUGAUACAUUUUGUGCUUCCAGAAUCCUCCACUAUGUCAGUUAUCAAGGCUCCAGGUGUCUCUCAGUGAAGGAUGGCCAUGCAGCCCAACAAGCUGCGUCCUGGCAAGGCAGUCAAGUCUCCUUCCCCCCUACCAGGAAUCAAAGCUCCCAGGUACGUCUUACUGAGGACUCCAUGGUCAGUGGUCACUGCUUUCAAAUGUGGUCAGUUCUUAUCUUCUGGAAAGUCUGGUCUUUUUUUUCCUCAAGCUCAGUGGUCUGCAGGAUCUCAGGGGAAGUAGCUUAGUUCUGCUACAAACUAUGGGGUUUAGGUCAGCAAGCAAGGAAUGCAUAAGAUUGAAGCAAGUUAACCCUAAGAAUGGUUGGAAUGUCGUUACGUGUGUGUACGUGCGUGUAUACACUUCAGUAUAUAUUUGGGCUCACCACAUAAUCUCUCCAGGAUUGUAUUAGACCCGAGGGCCCAAUUUAUUUAUCAUGUGGAAUAGAAUGGAGGUGAAUUUCAAAAUAGAGGAAAUGUGACCUUGGGGUUAAUUAAAUUAAUUUAAUUACUAUCCUGUUCUUUUCCAUUUCAAAACCUUUGGUGAUAAACAUGGAAUAGUAGGAGGAAUUGAGGGAGUGGCUUCACAGCUUGGGGUGGUGUCCUUACAGGGGGACAGCUGCAUGCAUAGACACACUUGUACAGCUGAUCCAGGUCCAGUGAAUAAAUGCAUCCCGGGUCUGGUGACA
rnacentral:lncRNA from 1 species